CCCUUAGAUGUUCUGGGCCGCACGCGCGCUACACUGAUGCAUUCAACGAGCCUAGCCUUGACCGAGAGGUCCGGGUAAUCUUUGAAACUGCAUCGUGAUGGGGCUAGAUUAUUGCAAUUAUUAAUCUUCAACGAGGAAUGCCUAGUAAGCGUGAUUCAUCAAAUCGCGUUGAUUACGUCCCUGCCCUUUGUACACACCGCCCGUCGCUCCUACCGAUUGAGUGUGUUGGUGAGGAGUUUGGAUUGGCCUCGGAAGGUGGUUCGCCACCGUCCGUAGCUGAGAAGUUCUCCAAACCGCCCCACUUAGAGGAAGGAGAGGUCGUAACA
rnacentral:rRNA from 1 species